AGGUUGGCCUCGGAUCAGGUGGGGAUACCCGCUGAACUUAAGCAUAUCAAUUAAGCGGAGGAAUGGGUUAACCUUCGGG
rnacentral:rRNA from 1 species